CCUACGGGAGGCAGCAGUGGGGAAUAUUGCACAAUGGGGGGAACCCUGAUGCAGCGACGCCGCGUGAGUGAAGAAGUAUUUCGGUAUGUAAAGCUCUAUCAGCAGGGAAGAAAAUGACGGUACCUGACUAAGAAGCCCCGGCUAACUACGUGCCAGCAGCCGCGGUAAUACGUAGGGGGCAAGCGUUAUCCGGAUUUACUGGGUGUAAAGGGAGCGCAGACGGCUGUGCAAGUCUGGAGUGAAAGGCGGGGCCCAACCCCCGGACUGCUCUGGAAACUGUAAAGCUGGAGUGCAGGAGAGGUAAGCGGAAUUCCUAGUGUAGCGGUGAAAUGCGUAGAUAUUAGGAGGAACACCAGUGGUGAAGGCGGCUUACUGGACUGCAACUGACGUUGAGGCUCGAAAGCGUGGGGAGCAAACAGGAUUAGAUACCCUUGUAGUC
rnacentral:rRNA from 1 species